CCUCUCCUUGCAAGAAUUCCAAAUGACCCUACCAGGACCAGUAAGAAAACAGGCUAUUAUAAGAAUAGCAGGUGAUACUGGUUUGUGGCGCAGUUAAACUCUGGUCACAGCUCAGCGUUCCUCCUCGUUUCAAUGAUGCUCCUGGCGUCCCUCAAAGAUCGUUGUAAUAUUACCAAUAAAAAGAACUGUAUUCACAUCUUCAUUGCACACCUUUUGUCCCGCAUUCAAUAGAGAAUUACACAAGCAAAAACAAAAAAAUAACUCUGGGAGUGACACUGAAUACAGCAUCAGCUGAACUGUGGCAAUGCCUGGCGCCUUCUGACAGAACCUUCUUAGUUCCAUGCUCAGAGAAGGCAAGCUCCACAGGAGAAUAUGUGAUUUGCUGGUCCUGUCUCAAUCUGCAUGACCCCUGUCCCAAUGUUUCUGAAGAUUGACUGUCGAGCAUGCUCAUUGAUGAAAGUGUGAAGAAGAUUAAAGGUAGAUAAAC